rnacentral:rRNA from 1 species
GACGAACGCUGGCGGCGUGCCUAACACAUGCAAGUCGAACGGAACUGUUUUGAAAGAUUUCUUCGGAAUGAAUUUGAUUUAGAUUAGUGGCGGACGGGUGAGUAACGCGUGAGUAACCUGCCUUCAAGAGGGGAAUAACAUUCUGAAAAGAAUGCUAAUACCGCAUGACAUAUCGGAACCACAUGGUUUUGAUAUCAAAGAUUUUAUCGCUUGAAGAUGGACUCGCGUCCGAUUAGUUAGUUGGUGAGGUAACGGCUCACCAAGACCGCGAUCGGUAGCCGGACUGAGAGGUUGAACGGCCACAUGGGGACUGAGACACGGCCCAGACUCCUACGGGAGGCAGCAGUGGGGGAGAUUGCGCAAUGGGGGCAACCCUGACGCAGCAACGCCGCGUGAAGGAUGAAGGUUUUCGGAUUGUAAACUUCUUUUAUUAAGGACGAAAAAUGACGGUACUUAAUGAAUAAGCUCCGGCUAACUACGUG